rnacentral:rRNA from 1 species
GACGAACGCUGGCGGCGUGCUUAACACAUGCAAGUCGAACGGUGAAAGCGGAGCUUGCUCCGCUGGAUCAGUGGCGAACGAGUGAGUAACACGUGGGCAACCUGCCCCUCACUUCGGGAUAACUCCGGGAAACCGGGGCUAAUACCGGAUAUGACCUCCUUGGGCAUCCUUGGAGGUGGAAAGUUUUUCGGUGAGGGAUGGGCCCGCGGCCUAUCAGCUUGUUGGUGAGGUAGUGGCUCACCAAGGCGACGACGGGUAGCCGGCCUGGGAGGGCGCCCGGCCACACUGGGACUGAGACACGGCCCAGACUCCUACGGGAGGCAGCAGUGGGGAAUAUUGCGCAGUGGGCGAAAGCCUGACGCAGCAACGCCGCGUGCGGGAUGACGGCCUUCGGGUUGUAAACCGCUUUCAGCAGGGAAGAAGCCGCAAGGUGACGGUACCUGCAGAAGAAGCACCGGCUAACUACGUGCCAGCCGCCGCCGUAA